rnacentral:lncRNA from 1 species
UGAUUCUUUCCAAGCUGUCAGCAGAGAGAAGCAAAGGAAUCACUUCCCAACCUCUGAUCUCCCAAGUAUCCUUAAUGGGCAUGCAUCCAGACGUUUUCAUUAAUUACAGAAAGAAUUAAGCACAGCUUGGAGAAGAGAUUAAAAGUCCUAAGAACAUUUUCCAGACAUUUUUAAAAGAAAAAUAAGCCACGUAAAGCAUCAGUGAAAUU